UAUAUUCUGCAACGACCAUAUUACAAAAUAUAUUUGGAGUUCAGAGGAUAAAGCUUAUAUACACGUGUAUAAUGAUUUAUAAUCCUUGACACAUCGUUUCCUCCUAUUAACAAAGGCCUGUACUUUAAUCAAUGACAAAUACAGUGAUGUUUCUGUCGAUGACGCAUGAAAAAUAUAUAACAAAAAAAUAUAUAUAUGUGUAUAUAUAAUCAACCAUAGAAUUGAACCAGCGCACGUGUUAAUAAUAUUGGCAUAAUGACUCUCCCAAGACACAACAAAACGAUUAACUUAUGUGGGUGAGUUUUCUU
rnacentral:lncRNA from 1 species